rnacentral:rRNA from 1 species
UAGCAAUACAGUUGAUGGCGACCGGCAAACGGGUGCGGAACACGUACACAACCUUCCUUUUAGUGGAGAAUAGCCCAGGGAAACUUGGAUUAAUACUCCGUAACAUAUAGAAGUGGCAUCACUUUUAUAUUAUAGCAGCAAUGCGCUAGAAGAUGGGUGUGCGGCUGAUUAGAUAGUUGGCGGGGUAACGGCCCACCAAGUCGACGAUCAGUAACUGGUGUGAGAGCACGACCAGUCACACGGGCACUGAGACACGGGCCCGACUCCUACGGGAGGCAGCAGUAAGGAAUAUUGGUCAAUGGACGCAAGUCUGAACCAGCCAUGCCGCGUGGAGGAUGAAGGUCCUCUGGAUUGUAAACCUCUUUUAUUUGGGAAGAAACCCACCUUUUCUAAGAUGGUUGACGGUACCAGAUGAAUAAGCACCGGCUAACUCCGUGCCAGCAGCCGCGGUAAUACGGAGGGUGCAAGCGUUAUCCGGAUUCACUGGGUUUAAAGGGUGCGUAGGUGGGCAAGUAAGUCAGUGGUGAAAUCUCCGGGCUUAACCCGGAAACUGCCAUUGAUACUAUUUGUCUUGAAUACUGUGGAGGUCAGCGGAAUAUGUCAUGUAGCGGUGAAAUGCUUAGAUAUGACAUAGAACACCAAUUGCGAAGGCAGCUGGCUACACAAAUAUUGACACUGAGGCACGAAAGCGUGGGGAUCAAACAGGAUUAGAUACCCUGGUAGUCCACGCCCUAAACUAUGGAUACUCGACAUUUGCGAUAAACUGCAAGUGUCUGAGCGAAAGCAUUAAGUAUCCCACCUGGGAAGUACGAUCGCAAGAUUG